AGCAGCCGCGGUAAUUCCAGCUCCAAUAGCGUAUAUUAAAGUUGUUGCAGUUAAAAAGCUCGUAGUUGAAUUUCGGGGUCAGUAGGCUGGUCGUGCCACAGGUAUGUACUGGUCUUACUGAUUCCUCCUUCCUGAUGAACCGUAAUGCCAUUAAUUUGGUGUUGCGGGGAAUCUGGACUGUUACUUUGAAAAAAUUAGAGUGUUUAAAGCAGGCUAACGCUUGAAUACAUUAGCAUGGAAUAAUGAAAUAGGACGAUCGAUCCUAUUUUGUUGGUUUCUAGGAUUGACGUAAUGAUUAAUAGGGAUAGUUGGGGGCAUUAGUAUUCAAUUGUCAGAGGUGAAAUUCUUGGAUUUAUUGAAGACUAACUACUGCGAAAGCAUUUGCCAAGGAUGUUUUCAUUAAUCAAGAACGAAAGUUAGGGGAUCGAAGACGAUCAGAUACCGUCGUAGUCUUAACCAUAAACUAUGCCGACUAGGGAUCGGAUGAUGUUAAUUUUUAAUGA
rnacentral:rRNA from 1 species